UAUGGAUCACUUCACACAGCACCGAGUACAGUCACCUCAAGGGGAAACGUGAGGGCUCAUAUAUAAAUCAGACUAACAUUAUGCUAAGGUUGAAGACCAACCAUGAGGAAUGGCUUAUUUGCUUGAAGCCAAAGGGAAUAUUAGGUAAGCAAAGGACAUUGCUUCCCCUGGUUACAAGGUCAGUGCUUUUUCAUCGACUGAGGUCCAGUGUUAAUGGAUCUGGCGUCCAGAUGCCAGUGCCACUGAAGGACUAAUGGGCAACAUGUUCACCUUCCGGAGGGAGAGAACUGAGCUAUGACAGGGCUGCCCUGUCUCUGAGUCUUGUUGGCAAUGCAGCACCAGCCACAGAGAAGAAAUCCUGAGCUCAGAGGACACAACUACAUGAUACCUGAUGCUCAAUAAUCUAUCAGGACCCUUCCUCAUGUACUCAUCUGCAAAGGUAGUACUGGCAUUUUCCUACGGGACCCAACACCAUGAACUGAUUGUCUGUACAGUUUUGUCAAGUCCCUAGGCCCAGAGCUGCCUCACGUGGAAGCUCAGGAGCCAUAACUUCCAAUCCAUGCCUACUGUGCUCAAAAUCAUCUGCUCAGAUACCACCAGAAGGUGCUCUGCAGAGCUUCUCUGUUUAUGACAAGUCCCAUCAAUACUGCUGCCCAUACGGUGCUGGAGAAGGACUUUAGUCUCCUGUGGGUCUUGCUUUGCUAUGAAGACAGAACCAAUCCAUGUUAUAUGGUUUGCGGAUAUUAGAAUGACAACCAGGAAGCAAAAGCCGAGGGAGCGGAGUCUUGCAGAGUGCUGGAGUCUCCACUGGGAGAGGAGAGGAGAGGAGAGUGUGGUCGUUUAGAGAGCCCACACUUAUAAGGAGAAAAAUAGAGGAAUCUUGCUCAGUAUAUGUGAACUCUACCAGGAACCUCACUGGCUCCCUUUCCACCUGCAGACUAGAC